rnacentral:lncRNA from 1 species
CUCACAUAUUCCUCCAUCUUUGUUGAUUCACUUUACACCUAAUCCUUGAUUUUAUAAUAUGUAAAUAAAAUCACAAUUUCGAAAACGCGUUAAAUCUUUUCUAUAAAUUACAUAACAACACAAGUUUCUUGAGUAUUCUCUACAAAUCUUUGCUCUGAAGUUGCUGCAGAAAUAGCGUUCAUCAAGCUAAUCAGGGUACUUUUCUUUUAUUCAUAUUGUUUGUUAUGAUCAAGUCCUUGGUAUCAUAUCAAUCCUGUUCUAAUUAGUUCAUUAAUGCUUUAUUUUGAAUUAGGCUAAACUUUUUUCAAUAGACAGUAUGUCAUCCAGUGUACCACCCCAUCAUUGCUCUGAUCACUACGAGUUGAAAAUGUCUGAAAGGCUUUAUAAAUGCGAUAAAUGCAAGAUGAUAGGGUUUGGAGAAAGAUAUGCAUGCCGUCUCUGUCGCAACUAUCUCCAUCGUGUAUGUAAGUACCCCAAAUCCAAGGCUACCCACGAGAAAUUUCCUGGCUACACUUUCAAAUAUCGUAGUAAACCAGACAUAAAAAUGUGUGAAAACAAUAGCAGAGAGUUUUUGAAGUGUUGCGAUGCAUGUGGAAAGGACAUAUGCGGUAUUAGCUACCGCUGUUACAAGGACAAAUCGAAAUCAUUGGAUUUGCAUCCAUGCUGUCUAAAACUUGAAAUGAAAAUAAUGAUCAAGGAUACGAAAUUUGAUCUUGUGCCAAAGGUUUCGUCCAAGUGUUAUAAGUGCGGAAAGUGGAAGACUUCUUGUGACAAGAGUCGGGGAUUGUCUUAUGUUUCCCAGUGCAAAAAUUAUAGUCUUCAUGUGUAUUGUGUAACUGAUAUGAUACAAGAGGCGUAUAUGAAGCGUAAGGAUUUGACAUUGAAGGUAAGUGAUUCACGAGAAUUAGUAAGAUAUAACGGAAAGGGAAAGGGUAAAAAUAACUACGUCAAGGUUGCCAAAAGCUUUAUCAAAAUUCUAGUUUCUUUUAUUUUGGGCGAUCCUACGGCGCUGAUUUCCCAUGCCAUUGUGGAGUGUGUCUUUCUCCUCUUCGGAAAGUAGUGUCUUUUUCUUCUUCUAUUUUUCAGUGUGGAUGAUAGUGUUUUGUUUGGUUCUCGUGAUUCAAUUCGUCUUUCCAAUCAUGAGACAUAGUUGUGGUACUUUUCUUGUACGUGAGUGAUGAUUAUUGCAAUAAACAUUUUAAUUUGAAUCGUCAUGUAGAGCAAGUAUUGAUAAAAAAUAAUAAUAAUAAUAAAUAAAUAAAAAAAUUCAUCAUAUUCAUUGUUUUGUCUCUAGUGGCGACUAUGCAUAUUGAACAUAAAUAAAAAUCUUGUUCAAUUGUGCAUAUUGAAUAUCAAUUAAAAUUUUGUGUCUCGAUUUCAGUGAAACAAUUUUUGGAAAUAUUUCUCAUUAAAGGUGUAUCUUAUAAUUUGUAAUAAUCACAAUUAGUAUUUAUUACUCUCAUGAUUGGUUAAACGAAAAAAAUUCAUGAAAUAAACUUUUAUCAAUUAACAUUUAUCAUGGUAAAGGCCAUUUUUAUGGCAUCGAGUAUGAAAGGGAAAAUUUAAUUCCCAAAAUGCAAGUUUGUUUGUUGUUGGUCGAUGGACUUCACCAUGCUUCGGUAUGAUUGUUCGAUGUACAAUUUUAUUUUCUUUUGAAAGUUCCAUUGGUCAACGUGACCAAAACUAAUGGCAAAGUUGAAAUAUUGAUUAUAUUUUAGCAAAAUUUUACCGAGUAAGCACUUAAUGAAAUAAAAGACGAUCAUCAUUUUUUGAACGUCAGGUCAUGAAGUCUCGCCACUCCAAGUGGAAGGACGGAGUCAUCGAUUGAAAUCAAAUUUAAAGUGUAGUUACCUAAUUG